CAAGGAAGGCAGCAGGCGCGCAAAUUACCCACUCCCGGCACGGGGAGGUAGUGACGAAAAUAACGAUACGGGACUCAUCCGAGGCCCCGUAAUCGGAAUGAGUACACUUUAAAUCCUUUAACGAGGAUCAAUUGGAGGGCAAGUCUGGUGCCAGCAGCCGCGGUAAUUCCAGCUCCAAUAGCGUAUAUUAAAGUUGUUGCGGUUAAAAAGYUSGUAGUCGAAUCUGUGUCGUGCGCCGCCGGUUCAUCKCUCGCGGUGUCAACUGKCGUGUCGCAGGACGUCCUGCCGGUGGACUCAGCCGUCCGGUCCGUCUCCUCCGGGAGUCGGCCUSGCGGCGGUCCAACUUUAAAAAUCCCACCGCGGUGCUCUUCGCUGAGUGUCGAGGUGGGCCGGCACGUUUACUUUGAACAAAUUAGAGUGCUUAAAGCAGGCUAAAAUUUCGCCUGAAUACUGUGUGCAUGGAAUAAUGGAAUAGGACCUCGGUUCUAUUUUGUUAGUUUUCGGAACCCCGAGGUAAUGAUUAAUAGGAACGGAUGGGGGCAUUCGUAUUGCGACGUUAGAGGUGAAAUUCUUGGAUCGUCGCAAGACGGACUUAAGCGAAAGCAUUUGCCAAAAACGCUUUCAUUGAUCAAGAACGAAAGUUAGRGGUUCGAAGGCGAUCAGAUACCGCCCUAKUUCUAACCAUAAACUAUCCCAACUAUCAUCCCUCAACUUUCCUC
rnacentral:rRNA from 1 species